rnacentral:lncRNA from 10 species
AACUGCAAACUGUGGACUUGUUCGUCAUCUAUUUUGGCUUGUAACUGACUGAGUUCAAACUCCUUCCUGCAAAUAGAUUAAAAAAAAAUAAAGAACAUGAAAUACAAGCCUCUUGGAGGGGGUGAAAGUUGGCUUUUAGGCUGAGACACAGAGGUGGUAAAAGAAAUAUCUACUUUUUCAAUUUCUCUUCUAUUUGCUGCUUGUCAUUUUCUAGAUCCAUAAUGGAUUCCUGGGACAUUUUCAGAUCUCCUUCCAGCUUCCUCUUCGCCCUUUCCAAGUCCGCCCGCAGUUUCUUCUCCUGCUCUAAGGAACCCUCAAGCUGAGAAGACACACAGAUGGAGUCUCGCUGCGAUGCCCAGGCUGGAGUGCAAUGGUGCAAUCUUGGCUCACUGCAACCUUCGUUUCCCAGGUUUAAGCAAUUCUCCUGCCUCAGCCUCCCAAGUAUCUGGGACUACAGGCGAGCGUCACCAUGCCUGGCUAAUUUUUGUAUUUUUAGUAGAGAUGUUUAGUAGAGAGUUUCACCAUAUUGGCCAGGCUGGUCUUGAACUCCUGACCUCAAGGGAUCCGCCCACCUUGGCCUCUCAAAGUGCUGGGAUUACAGGCGUGAGCCACCGUGCCUGGCAAUGUUUGUAGUUUCUUUCAUGAAUUUACCUCCUUUUAUUCUUUAAUCCCUGCUUAUCUCUAAAGAGUAAGUAACUGAAAGUAAUAAAACGGAAUUUUCUCAACAAUAUUUUAUAAGUUGAUUUCUUUUUCUUUCCUACAGGAAACAACCCAAUUUGCCAUCUUAAUUUGGAGUCUACUUUUUCUGAAUGACUCAGUUUUCUCUGAUACUUAAUCAAGAUGCAGCCUUGGGGGAAAAUGUCAUGUCCCAGUCUCCCCCAUGUUCCUUUCCCUUCAUCCCACUUUGUCCCCGGGGUCUAGCAUGACUGUGUGUUUGGAUUGGGGAAGUGAAGGCAGGAAAGUCGCUUCCCCAAAUCCGCAUCCACACAGGGUCUUAUGUUAGAGUUGAUGUUAUCUCUAGGCGAGGUUAUGCAAUGUAGUUACAGAGACAUUGUGAUUAGAUUCAAAGAAAAUGAUUUUCAUCAUUGAAGUUUACGCAUGUGCCCAUUUCCUAUUUAUUACAUUCCCUGGCCCAGAGGACAUUAGGCUUUCAUUUUUAAAAAAUGAUCUCAUUAUCUAAUGAAUAAUUAUAUUUCAUAUAUUUUAUUAAUUUAUUAAAUGUAUGCAUUUAAAAUGGCAUAUAAUGUUAAAACUCUAUGUUGGCUACUAUUUAAAAGUAUAUUUACUGGUAAUCU